rnacentral:rRNA from 1 species
AUUGAACGCUGGCGGCAGGCCUAACACAUGCAAGUCGAGCGGUAGAGAGGUGCUUGCAUCUCUUGAGAGCGGCGGACGGGUGAGUAAUGCCUAGGAAUCUGCCUAGUGGUGGGGGAUAACGUUCGGAAACGGACGCUAAUACCGCAUACGUCCUACGGGAGAAAGCGGGGGAUCUUCGGACCUCGCGCCAUUAGAUGAGCCUAGGUCGGAUUAGCUAGUUGGUGAGGUAAUGGCUCACCAAGGCGACGAUCCGUAACUGGUCUGAGAGGAUGAUCAGUCACACUGGAACUGAGACACGGUCCAGACUCCUACGGGAGGCAGCAGUGGGGAAUAUUGGACAAUGGGCGAAAGCCUGAUCCAGCCAUGCCGCGUGUGUGAAGAAGGUCUUCGGAUUGUAAAGCACUUUAAGUUGGGAGGAAGGGUUGUAGAUUAAUACUCUGCAAUUUUGACGUUACCGACAGAAUAAGCACCGGCUAACUCUGUG